CCGCAUCCGCAUCGUCUUGCAGUUGGUCAGUAUACAAUCGCUGUCAACAUGUCAACUGGUACCAAUUGGUUUUCGUAGUCUCCUGAGUCAUGACCUUGCACGCAGAUCAAUGGCACUCUGAAAGCGUUUGGUUGCGUGAUUGUCCUGGGCAUCUUCCAUCUCUUAGACCACAGAGAGACCUUGCUCGUAAACUCUAGCCACUACGUACACAUAAACAUGAAGGUUAUACCUUCUAUGUUUAUGUUGGUAGAGGACACUAUUAGGGUGGUAACGAUCAGCAUCGAAGACAACUAUAAUGACAAUGUGAAAGGGAGCUGCAACCAAAAAAUAGUUGCACUCCUUAUCAGAUUCAGGGUGCGGGAGGUAAGUCCGACUUGGUCGUUUGACUGAGCCAAAUAAGAUCAACCUAAUAUUCU
rnacentral:lncRNA from 7 species